rnacentral:rRNA from 1 species
UACGAAGGGUGCAAGCGUUACUCGGAAUUACUGGGCGUAAAGGGCGCGUAGGCGGCAAUUCAAGUCAUCUGUGAAAUCUCCGGGCUUAACUCGGAACGGUCAGAUGAUACUGCUUUGCUAGAGUGCGGAAGGGGCAAUCGGAAUUCUUGGUGUAGCGGUGAAAUGCGUAGAUAUCAAGAGGAACACCUGAGGUGAAGACGGGUUGCUGGGCCGACACUGACGCUGAGUGCGCGAAAGCCAGGGGAGCAAACGGG